rnacentral:misc_RNA from 1 species
UAUGUAUGUAAUCACGAGGGGAUUUGCCUAUAAGCCAUAAGGUAGGACAAAUAUUGAUAAAAAAAAAAAAAAGAAAAAUUAAAGAAAAGAUAAAAGAACAAUAGUUCUAGUUUUUUGUUCUUAUUUAUAUAUUUGUUUUUUUUAAUGUUUAUUCUCUUUUGGAAUUUAGGACCCAAAAAGAUUCUAAUUACAUCCCUUGAUGAGAUGUUAGUCCCA